GCGGGGGCUCAGUGGUAGCGCACUUGCCUGGCAUGUGUGAGGCACUGAGUUCGAUUCUUAGCACUGCA
rnacentral:tRNA from 1 species